rfam:Picea glauca, whole genome shotgun sequence.
ACAUGCCUACAACAUAGUGUUAAUGAAUCGGAUCCCAUUAGAACUCCGUUGUUAAGCACACUGAGGCUAGAGUAGUACUAGGAUGGGUGACCACUCGAGAAGUCCUAGAGUUUUACAUGCC